rnacentral:rRNA from 1 species
UACGAAGGGUGCAAACGUUGCUCGGAAUUAUUGGGCGUAAAGCGCACGUAGGCGGCAUUGCAAGUCGGAUGUGAAAUCCCUCGGCUUAACCAAGGAAGUGCAUCCGAAACUGCAGUGCUUGAGUACUUAAGAGGAUCGCGGAAUUCCCGGUGUAGAGGUGAAAUUCGUAGAUAUCGGGAGGAACACCAGUGGCGAAGGCGGCGACCUGGGAAGAUACUGACGCUGAGGUGCGAAAGCGUGGGGAGCAAACAGG